CGGUGUGAGGACAACCUUGCUAUACUAUUUAUUACUGCACUGAUCGCCAGGUGAUCUGGCUGAUCUGUGUCUCCUUCUGCCCACACUGUCUCAUGUGCAUCUCUCCUGAAGCUUCAUAUUAGGUGGAAGAGGACAACUUUCACUGAAUAGAAGGGGCCCGGUCUUGUGUCAAGGUUAUAUGAGUAGCUUGUGUUCCUCUGCUAGAUUUCCAGACAAGUUCUCAAGGUGUCAUUUCUUAGGAUCCGUUCAAUUUAUUUUUUGAUAUGGGGUUCUCAUUUGUUCAGAAC
rnacentral:snRNA from 1 species